GACGAACGCUGGCGGCGUGCUUAACACAUGCAAGUCGAACGGAAAGGCCCUGCUUUUGUGGGGUGCUCGAGUGGCGAACGGGUGAGUAACACGUGAGUAACCUGCCCUUGACUUUGGGAUAACUUCAGGAAACUGGGGCUAAUACCGGAUAGGAGCUCCUGCUGCAUGGUGGGGGUUGGAAAGUUUCGGCGGUUGGGGUUGGACUCGCGGCUUAUCAGCUUGUUGGUGGGUAGUGGCUUACCAAGGCUUUGAAGGGUAGCCGGCCUGAGGGGGUGAACAGCCACAUUGGGACUGAGAUACGGCCCAGACGCCUACGGGAGGCAGCAGUGGGGAAUAUUGCACAAUGGGCGGAAGCCUGAUGCAGCAACGCCGCGUGCGGGAUGACGGCCUUCGAGUUGUAAACCGCUUUCGCCUGUGACGAAGCGUGAGUGACGGUAAUGUGUAAAGAAGCACCGGCUAACUACGUG
rnacentral:rRNA from 1 species